CCUACGGGUGGCUGCAGUGGGGAAUAUUGCACAAUGGGCGCAAGCCUGACGCAGCCAUGCCGCGUGUGUGAAGAAGGCCUUCGGGUUGUAAAGCACUUUCAGCGGGGAGGAAGGCGGUGAGGUUAAUAACCUCAUCGAUUGACGUUACCCGCAGAAGAAGCACCGGCUAACUCCGUGCCAGCAGCCGCGGUAAUACGGAGGGUGCAAGCGUUAAUCGGAAUUACUGGGCGUAAAGCGCACGCAGGCGGUCUGUCAAGUCGGAUGUGAAAUCCCCGGGCUCAACCUGGGAACUGCAUUCGAAACUGGCAGGCUAGAGUCUUGUAGAGGGGGGUAGAAUUCCAGGUGUAGCGGUGAAAUGCGUAGAGAUCUGGAGGAAUACCGGUGGCGAAGGCGGCCCCCUGGACAAAGACUGACGCUCAGGUGCGAAAGCGUGGGGAGCAAACAGGAUUAGAUACCCGAGUAGUC
rnacentral:rRNA from 1 species